rnacentral:rRNA from 1 species
GACGUAGGGCGCGAGCGUUGUCCGGAUUUAUUGGGCGUAAAGAGCUCGUAGGCGGCUUGUUGCGUCAGCUGUGAAAACCCGCAGCUCAACUGUGGGCUUGCAGCUGAUACGGGCAGGCUUGAGUUCGGUAGGGGAGACUGGAAUUCCUGGUGUAGCGGUGAAAUGCGCAGAUAUCAGGAGGAACACCCGGUGGCGAAGGCGGGCUCUGGCGGA